rnacentral:rRNA from 1 species
AUGGCCGACACAAAUUCAUGUUGCUUGUGUGGAGCUUGGGACACUUGGCGACAUGCUCUUCUCACAUGUGCGUUAUCCAGGAGCGUGUGGCCACUUGCGCCUGAGGAGUUGAUCGAGAAGAUCAUUACACACCAAGAAGAAAGCGCAAAGGACUGGCUAUUCGCACUACAUGAAAUACCAGAUGCUCCUGAUUUCAUACGUGUUGUCGUAACUGCAUGGGCAGCAAGGAGGAAGGCAAUUCACGAGGACAUUUUUCAGUCUCCACAUGCCACAGAUGCUUUUAUUAACAAGUACUUGUCAGAGCUGGAGAUAGUUAACAAGAGAGAGAAGCAGCAGGCACCACAAAGAGCUCCACGGAGUUCAACUUGGGUGCCGCCAGCCCAAGGGUGUGUUAAGAUCAAUGUAGACGACGCAGUGUCCGUGAGGGGGAAGCAUGGUGCAGUGGGAGCAGUAUGCAGAGACCAACAUGGCAUUUUUCUUGGGGCCUCGGCGAUUGUCUUCAAGCGCAUAACAAAUCCUCAAACGCUAGAAGCCCUAGCUAUAAGGGAAGCUCUCUCCCUAGCGGAUGAUCUAUAUGCCCGACGUAUUCAUGUUGCUUCAGAUUGCAAGGUAGUUGUUAAUGAUUUGCAUCAGCGCAAGUUUGCUGCUUAUGGCACGGUUCUUCGUGAGAUACCAGACUGUUCGUCAAUCUUUCUUUCAUGUAAUAUAGGUCAUGAAUUUAGGAGCUCAAACUAUGAGGCUCACAACCUAGCGAAACAUUCUCUUUCCCUCGCGGUUGGCCGCCAUGUUUGGUUAGGCCAGCCGGGAGAUCUUCCAUGCGUUCCUGUAAACAUUGUGACAGGUUAA